CUGACGCAGCAACGCCGCGUGAGCGAAGACGGCCUUCGGGUUGUAAAGCUCUGUCAGGAGGGACGAAGCCACUCGGGUGAAUAGCCUAGAGGGUGACGGUACCUCCAGAGGAAGCCCCGGCUAACUACGUGCCAGCAGCCGCGGUAAUACGUAGGGGGCGAGCGUUGUCCGGAAUCAUUGGGCGUAAAGCGCGUGUAGGCGGCCGACCAAGUCCGGUGUGAAAGCUCGGGGCUCAACCCCGAGUCUGCACUGGAAACUGGCCGGCCUGAGUCCGGAAGAGGAGACUGGAAUUCCUGGUGUAGCGGUGAAAUGCGCAGAUAUCAGGAAGAACACCGGUGGCGAAGGCGGGUCUCUGGGACGGUACUGACGCUGAGACGCGAAAGCGUGGGGAGCAAACAGGAUUAGAUACCCUGGUAGUCCACGCCGUAAACGAUG
rnacentral:rRNA from 1 species